GGAUUGUUAAUUUAAUGGUAAAAUACUGAUUUUAUUACCCUCCCCCCCAUAUAAAAUCAAAGAUGUGAGUUCGAUCCUCAUACAAUCCU
rnacentral:tRNA from 1 species